GGGAUGCGGAUAAGGAUGGAAAAUAUGAUGGAGGUAGGCACUGGGAUGAGAAAACACUUGGGGAAACAGGGCAAGGAGAUGAGUUCAGGGUUGGGGUGGCAGGUGUUGGUAAUGGAGACCAGAAACUUUCCCCGUUGGUCUCUAUUUUAAAUGCUUGUCUCACCUUGACCAGGCACCUUGAGAUCAAGGUGUAUUUUAGAAAUGUGGAUCUCUGGAGACACAGAGUGGAGCCAUGAGGUCAAAGGGGAGCUUUGGGACUGCGUGUGCUGGCUGCCUGCACAGCCAGUGUGUGCUGUUGAACUCCAGGAGUGGCACAGCCACUCCUCCUCCUUCCCCAUCGCCCACCGACGUGGCACUCGUGUGACUGCUGCUGUGGCUGCCAGCUUGCAGCCAGCCCACUUGGAGCGCUUCCCAACAGCACAGUCCUGCAGGAUUAAAUUACACCAUGUCAUCAGCCAGACACUCUGCCCACUUUUCAAUUCAUUUUCUCUCCUAAACCCAUAAAAUUACCAAAUCUCCUCGUGUAAACCCAUACUGCACAGAACCGAUGAGCUGACAGAGCGUUGCAUUCUGCCACAGGUUUGUGAAGGGUAGACUCUGAUUUCACCUCCUCCACUGUGGGGUUUGCUGCCUGGGAUCUUCUGGGACAGCUGUGCCACAUCCAUGCUGGGAGCACCCAAAACCUGCCCUGGGACACCCUGGGCAGGGGACAGCCAGAGUAUGGCACUCUCCCCCAUUUCUGUUGUUCUUCUUACUUGGUUGGUUCUGGCAGUUUGGGACAGGAGAAUUUUAAAAUGAAAGAAUAAACAGCAGAAAAUAUCCAAA